rnacentral:rRNA from 1 species
ACACGUGGUAUCCUGUCUGAAUAUGGGGGGACCAUCCUCCAAGGCUAAAUACUCCUGACUGACCGAUAGUGAACCAGUACCGUGAGGGAAAGGCGAAAAGAACCCCGGCGAGGGGAGUGAAAAAGAACCUGAAACCGUGUACGUACAAGCAGUGGGAGCCUCUUUAUGGGGUGACUGCGUACCUUUUGUAUAAUGGGUCAGCGACUUAUAUUCUGUAGCAAGGUUAACCGAAUAGGGGAGCCGAAGGGAAACCGAGUCUUAACUGGGCGUUAAGUUGCAGGGUAUAGACCCGAAACCCGGUGAUCUAGCCAUGGGCAGGUUGAAGGUUGGGUAACACUAACUGGAGGACCGAACCGACUAAUGUUGAAAAAUUAGCGGAUGACUUGUGGCUGGGGGUGAAAGGCCAAUCAAACCGGGAGAUAGCUGGUUCUCCCCGAAAGCUAUUUAGGUAGCGCCUCGUGAAUUCAUCUCCGGGGGUAGAGCACUGUUUCGGCAAGGGGGUCAUCCCGACUUACCAACCCGAUGCAAACU